UACCCGCAGCACAAGUGGUGGUCAUUAUUAUUGGGCCUAAAGCGUCCGUAGCUUGCGUGUUAGAUGCCUGGUAAUCGAUGCGCUCAACGUAUCGAAUCGGUAGACGCAUGCUCGAGACGGAGAGUGUAGGUACUCGAGGGUAGGUAAAUCUGUAUCUCGGACGACAGUGCGAGCGCUACACUAGACGCUCUGACAGUGAGGACGAAGCC
rnacentral:rRNA from 1 species